rnacentral:rRNA from 1 species
CGUACACGGUGGAUGCCCUGGCAGUCAGAGGCGAUGAAGGGCGUGCUAAUCUGCGAUAAGCGCCGGUAAGGUGAUAUGAACCGUUAUAACCGGCGAUACCCGAAUGGGGAAACCCAGUGUGACUCGUCACACUAUCAUUAACUGAAUCCAUAGGUUAAUGAGGCGAACCGGGGGAACUGAAACAUCUAAGUACCCCGAGGAAAAGAAAUCAACCGAGAUUCCCCCAGUAGCGGCGAGCGAACGGGGAGGAGCCCAGAGCCUGAAUCAGCAUGUGUGUUAGUGGAAGCGUCUGGAAAGGCGCGCGAUACAGGGUGACAGCCCCGUACACAAAAGCGCAUGUGCUGUGAGCUCGAUGAGUAGGGCGGGACACGUGGUAUCCUGUCUGAAUAUGGGGGGACCAUCCUCCAAGGCUAAAUACUCCUGACUGACCGAUAGUGAACCAGUACCGUGAGGGAAAGGCGAAAAGAACCCCGGCGAGGGGAGUGAAAAAGAACCUGAAACCGUGUACGUACAAGCAGUGGGAGCCCCACCACCAAAGCAUUUGCUGUACCGCGUUGACGGAGCGAAGCGACGUCAAACCGAUAAAACAGCAGUGUAAAGUGAGCCGCAGGGCGCUUUGCGCGACAGCGCAAAGGCAGGCGGUUUCGCGUAGCGAAAGCGAAUGCUUUGGGGUGGGGUGACUGCGUACCUUUUGUAUAAUGGGUCAGCGACUUAUAUUCUGUAGCAAGGUUAACCGAAUAGGGGAGCCGGAGGGAAACCGAGUCUUAAUUGGGCGUUAAGUUGCAGGGUAUAGACCCGAAACCCGGUGAUCUAGCCAUGGGCAGGUUGAAGGUUGGGUAACACUAACUGGAGGACCGAACCGACUAAUGUUGAAAAAUUAGCGGAUGACCUGUGGCUGGGGGUGAAAGGCCAAUCAAACCGGGAGAUAGCUGGUUCUCCCCGAAAGCUAUUUAGGUAGCGCCUCGUGAAUUCAUCUCCGGGGGUAGAGCACUGUUUCGGCUAGGGGGCCAUCCCGGCUUACCAACCCGAUGCAAACUGCGAAUACCGGAGAAUGUUAUCACGGGAGACACACGGCGGGUGCUAACGUCCGUCGUGAAGAGGGAAACAACCCAGACCGCCAGCUAAGGUCCCAAAGUCAUGGUUAAGUGGGAAACGAUGUGGGAAGGCCCAGACAGCCAGGAUGUUGGCUUAGAAGCAGCCAUCAUUUAAAGAAAGCGUAAUAGCUCACUGGUCGAGUCGGCCUGCGCGGAAGAUGUAACGGGGCUAAACCAUGCACCGAAGCUGCGGCAGCGACACUGUGUGUUGUUGGGUA